UACGGUUGCAAAGCUGAAACUUAAAGGAAUUGACGGAAGGGCACCACCAGGAGUGGAGCCUGUGGCUUAAUUUGACUCAACACGGGAAACCUCACCCGGUCCGGACACUGGAAGGAUUGACAGACUAAAGCUCUUUCUUGAUUCAGUGGGUGGUGGUGCAUGGCCGUUCUUAGUUGGUGGAGUGAUUUGUCUGGUUAAUUCCGAUAACGAACGAGACUCUCGCCUGCUAAAUAGUUUUCCAUACGUUACUUUAUGGAACCUAAAACUUCUUAGAGGUACAAGUGGCGUUUAGCCACACRAAACAGAGCAAUAACAGGUCUGUGAUGCCCUUAGAUGUCCGGGGCCGCACAUGUGCUACAAUGAAUGCAUCAACGUGUAUCAGCCUCGCCCGAAAGGGUUGGGGAAUCCGCUGAACGGCAUUCUCAGUAGGGAUUGGGGAUUGCAAUUAUUUCCCAUGAACACGGAAUUCCCAGUAGGCGCCAGUCAUCAGCUGGCGUCGAUUGAGUCCCUGCCCUUUGUACACACCNNNNNNNNNNAAUAGAUACGAUAGGUGGAUGUCCGCGAGGGUUGCUUCUCGGUAGAAAGAUACAUACAAAAAGUAAAAGAGAAGCCGCCGAGUGGCGAGUUGUUGAAAGUAGCCCAGCGAAACAACGGAACAAACCCUCGGAAUAAGAAAGAAAAGACGUGCUGUACGAAAAAGUGCAACG
rnacentral:rRNA from 1 species